GGACCCGUGGUAUAGCUUGGAUAGCAUUGGGGCCUCCGGAGCCUCUGACCCGGGUUCGAAUCCCGGCGGGUCCG
rnacentral:tRNA from 1 species